UACGUAGGCAGCGAGCGUUGUUCGGAGUUACUGGGCGUAAAGGGUGUGUAGGCGGUUGUUUAAGUUUGGUGUGAAAUCUCCCGGCUCAACUGGGAGGGUGCGCCGAAUACUGAAUGACUAGAGUGCGGGAGAGGAAAGUGGAAUUCCUGGUGUAGCGGUGAAAUGCGUAGAUAUCAGGAGGAACACCGGUGGUGUAGCCGGCUUUCUGGACCGUAACUGACGCUGAAACACGAAAGCGUGGGUAGCAAACAGG
rnacentral:rRNA from 1 species